UGGGGAAUAUUGCACAAUGGGGGAAAGCCCUGAUGCAGCAACGCCGCGUGAAGGAAGACGGUUUUCGGAUUGUAAACUUCUUUUCUUAGUGAAGAAACAAAUGACGGUAGCUAAGGAAUAAGCAUCGGCUAACUACGUGCCAGCAGCCGCGGUAAUACGUAGGAUGCGAGCGUUAUCCGGAAUUACUGGGUGUAAAGGGAGCGCAGGCGGGACUGCAAGUUGGAUGUGAAAUGCCGCAGCUUAACUGCGGAGCUGCAUCCAAAACUGUAGUUCUUGAGUGGAGUAGAGGCAAGCGGAAUUCCGAGUGUAGCGGUGAAAUGCGUAGAUAUUCGGAGGAACACCAGUGGCGAAGGCGGCUUGCUGGGCUCUAACUGACGCUGAGGCUCGAAAGCGUGGGGAGCAAACAGGAUUAGAUACC
rnacentral:rRNA from 1 species